GUGCAUUUUAGUGUUUGUGAAUCCUCCUGAAUUAGGGUACGUUUUGUUAAGUAAAUGUCAUUAUUCUGAUCUGUAACGUCUCACUACUGUCCUCGUUUCCCCCCUCUUAACUCCCCUUGAUAAUUAUACUUACACCACCUAUUUCUAUUUACGUCCUCCUCAUUAGUGGAACCAGAUCAACCCUCCAAAGCUCAGGAGGGUUCGGUGAUCUUAUUUGUCUCCUCACAUCUCCGUACGCAGCUCAUUAAUCCUGAUGGAAAACAACUCAUGCCACUGCUAAAUGAAUCUGGCACAGUGGUGCGCUUCCUUUCUCCAACUCUGGUUACACAACCUCUCAGAAAAACAGCAGGUAGAAAACGGUCUCCGUGUUAAAAGUCUGUCAACGUGACGAUAUUUAACUGAGUUAAACAACUUUGACAGAGUGAUCGUUUCCAGACUCAAACUUAAAUUCUUAAAAAAAACGAUAAAGCGUAUUGAGAAAAGGUUGUCGGUCACACAUUUGUGUCUCCUAGAUGCACCAUAGAGAAGCCGAAAACGGACUCUAUCCACCGAUCCACGACUUCCUGAACUUAAGUCAGCUCCUUUAUUUCCUGUCUUACAUUAUUGGACAAACUGAUUAAUCAGGUGUGUCUGCCACUGGAAAAUUGGCAGACACCUAACAAAUGGCAGUGGUUUUUGGUGUCUGCCAAUUCCUACCAGAUCCGUCGGUGAGGCGAAUUUCGUGGCCAUUUACGGACAGCAGGAAUCAGGAGAACUCAUAAGAACCUGUAGAUUCACGCGAAGUCACGCGAUGAGUUGUCUCUUAGCCACAGAGGGUAACCAUAUAAGCAGUAGAUUGUGUCAGGGGGCAACCGCCGUUCCGACAUCCCGCCAUUCCGACAUUGGUCUCGAACUGUUGAAGUGGCGGUAUGUUACCAUGCUAUCAAUCUCGUCAUUCCGACAGCUCUCGUCUGCUAUGGUCGGCCGCGGAGCCCUCUGGGUCGCGCCCAGCUACGCUCGGGAUUAAAUGACAGACUCCAGAUGUGAAUGCGCAUCUCCCACCCCCCACUCCCUUAGCUUCGUCGGAAUGCUGAGAUGUGGGAGUGGCAGCAUGUAACCGAUUGUGUGCUGAAUUUAUCCGCCAUGCUCCGGCGUCCAGAAAAAAUAGAACUCUUGUGAUCAGCUGAGGAGUCCGGCAAUCCGCAGAGGAACGGAAAGAAGUCGGUGUAAAUUGACACGUUAACUUAAUGGUUACGAUCAGCAGAUACGGCUUUUUGUAGCUUUUCUGGAUGCGGUUGAAAUUGGGGGUAACAGGUACUGAUAAACAUAAUCCCAUCUCUUUAUGAAUUUGCCCCAGUUUUCAUCUUGAUCGAUGUUUGAAUAAAGAUUUAGAGGAUCUUCCACCAUCACUUCCAGUUUUCCUGAACCAGAGAUGAUGUUUAACUUAAAUAAACUGAUCUAGAUUCAUUUAUGAGAGCGUCUUUGGGAGUUUUCAAGGAAAAGUCUGUGUUUGAAUGUAACCCUGCUCCAGGCGGAGCUCAGGAGUCUUUCAUGAUGGAUGAGUAAAGCAGCAUCUGGAGUAAAUGUUUGUUUUUGUCUUUUAUUCCUUCAGGCGGACGCUCACACGAUGACCCCUGAGGUUUCCUGGCCAACCUGAACACACAGGAACCUCCCCGCGUGUCGCUAACAAGCUAGCCGAGCGUGGCGGGGACGGCUCUGUCAACAAUGAAAUCAUCCGGCUCUCUUAAUGAGUCCCUCUGCAACCCGACGCCUCCGUGACAAAACCAGAAUGUCUGGACUGUGUUUACCCCGCUGCCCUUGAAGAGAGGAGGAGGAGGAAGAGGAAGAUAGAUUAAACGAUAA
rnacentral:lncRNA from 1 species